rnacentral:rRNA from 1 species
UCUCUACGGAGUAAAGAGGGCUUCGGCUCUCACCAUUGGAUGAGCCUAUGCAAGAUUAGCUUGUUGGUGAGGUAAUGGCUCACCAAGGCUACGAUCUUUAGCUGGUUUGAGAGGACGACCAGCCACAUCGGGACUGAGACACGGCCCGGACUUCUACGGAAGGCAGCAGUAGGGAAUAUUGGACAAUGAGCGAAAGCUUGAUCCAGCUAUGCCGCGUGUGCGAUGACGGCCUUAGGGUUGUAAAGCACUUU